rnacentral:rRNA from 1 species
AGAGUUUGAUCCUGGCUCAGGAUGAACGCUGGCGGCGUGCUUAACACAUGCAAGUCGAGCGGGAAUUAGUUAGGUGCUUGCACCUAACUAAUUUUAGCGGCGGUAGCGGCGGACGGGUGAGUAACGCGUGGGUAACCUGCCUUAUACAGGGGGAUAACAUAUUGAAAAGUAUGCUAAUACCGCAUAAGCGCACAGCAUCACAUGAUGCAGUGUGAAAAACUCCGGUGGUAUAAGAUGGACCCGCGUCUGAUUAGCUAGUAGGUGAGGUAAUGGCUCACCUAGGCGACGAUCAGUAGCCGACCUGAGAGGGUGAUCGGCCACAUUGGGACUGAGACACGGCCCAAACUCUUACGGGAGGCAGCAGUGGGGAAUAUUGCACAAUGGGGGAAACCCUGAUGCAGCGACGCCGCGUGAAGGAUGAAGGUUUUCGGAUCGUAAACUUCUAUCAGCAGGGAAGAACAUGACGGGUACCUUGGGAGAAAGCCCCGGCUAACUACGUGCCAGCAGCCGCGGUAAUACGUAGGGGGCAAGCGUUAUCCGGAAUUAUUGGGCGUAAAGAGUGCGUAGGUGGUUUUAUAAGCGUGGGGUGAAAGGCAACGGCUUAACUAUUGUAAGCCUUGUGAACUGUAAGUCUUGAGUGCAAGAGAGGGAAGUGGAAUUCCUAGUGUAGCGGUGAAAUGCGUAGAUAUUAGGAGGAACACCAGUGGCGAAGGCGGCUUUCUGGACUGUAACUGACACUGAGGCGCGAAAGCGUGGGGAUCAAACAGGAUUAGAUACCCUGGUAGUCCACGCCGUAAACGAUGGGCGCUAGGUGUUGCGGGUAUUGACCCCUUCAGUGCCGCAGCUAACGCAUUAAGUACUCCGCCUGGGGAGUACGGUCGCAAGACUGAAACUCAAAGGAAUUGACGGGGGCCCGCACAAGCGGUGGAGUAUGUGGUUUAAUUCGACGCAACGCGAAGAACCUUACCAAGGCUUGACAUCCCGUGACAGCCAUGGAGGCAGGUGGUCUUCCUAGUUUACUAAGACACGGAGACAGGUGGUGCAUGGUUGUCGUCAGCUCGUGUCGUGAGAUGUUGGGUUAAGUCCCGCAACGAGCGCAACCCCUGCCAUUAGUUGCCAGCAGGUUAAGCCGGGGACUCUGGACAGACUGCCGGGGACAACUCGGAGGAAGGUGGGGAUGACGUCAAAUCAUCAUGCCCCUUAUGUUCUGGGCUACACACGUACUACAAUGGGCGAUACAAAGGGAUGCAACAACGUUAAUUUAAGCGGAUCUCACAAAAACAGUCCCAGUUCGGAUUGUGGGCUGCACCCCGCCCACAUGAAGUCGGAGUUGCUAGUAAUCGCGGAUCAGCAUGCCGCGGUGAAUACGUUCCCGGGCCUUGUACACACCGCCCGUCA